GACAUUUUGGCUUAGUGGUUAAGACACCUGGCUCUCACCCAGGUGGCGUGGGUUCGAUUCCUACCUUCCCCA